rnacentral:rRNA from 1 species
UACGUAGGCAGCGAGCGUUGUUCGGAAUUAUUGGGCGUAAAGCGCGUGUAGGCGGCUUUGCAAGUCGGGUGUGAAAGCCCUCAGCUCAACUGAGGAAGUGCGCCCGAAACUGCAGAGCUUGAGUGCGGUAGGGAGAAGUGGAAUGGCUGGUGUAGCGGUGAAAUGCGUAGAUAUCAGUCGGAACACCGGUGGCGAAGGCGGCUCACUGGCCCGGUACUGACGCUGAGGUGCGAAAGCGUGGGGAGCAAACAGG